rnacentral:rRNA from 1 species
CAGUAGCCGCGGGAAUACGUAGGGUGCAAGCGUUAAUCGGAAUUACUGGGCGUAAAGCGUGCGCAGGCGGUUAUAUAAGACAGAUGUGAAAUCCCCGGGCUCAACCUGGGAACUGCAUUUGUGACUGUAUAGCUAGAGUACGGCAGAGGGGGAUGGAAUUACGCGUGUAGCAGUGAAAUGCGUAGAUAUGCAGAGGAACACCGAUGGCGAAGGCAAUCCCCUGGGCCUGUACUGACGCUCAUGCACGAAAGCGUGGGGAGCAAACAGGAUUAGAUACCCCUGUAGUCCCUGUCUCUUAUAC